rnacentral:rRNA from 1 species
AUUGAACGCUGGCGGCAUGCCUUACACAUGCAAGUCGAACGGCAGCACGGGUGCUUGCACCUGGUGGCGAGUGGCGAACGGGUGAGUAAUACAUCGGAACAUGUCCUGUAGUGGGGGAUAGCCCGGCGAAAGCCGGAUUAAUACCGCAUACGAUCUACGGAUGAAAGCGGGGGACCUUCGGGCCUCGCGCUAUAGGGUUGGCCGAUGGCUGAUUAGCUAGUUGGUGGGGUAAAGGCCUACCAAGGCGACGAUCAGUAGCUGGUCUGAGAGGACAACCAGCCACACUGGGACUGAGACACGGCCCAGACUCCUACGGGAGGCAGCAGUGGGGAAUUUUGGACAAUGGGCGAAAGCCUGAUCCAGCAAUGCCGCGUGUGUGAAGAAGGCCUUCGGGUUGUAAAGCACUUUUGUCCGGAAAGAAAUCCUUGGCUCUAAUACAGUCGGGGGAUGACGGUACCGGAAGAAUAAGCACCGGCUAACUACGUG